GUUUGAUUAUGGCUCAGGACGAACGCUGGCGGCGUGCCUAAUACAUGCAAGUCGAACGUUCUUUUCCCACCGGAGCUUGCUCCACCGGGAAAAGAGGAGUGGCGAACGGGUGAGUAACACGUGGGUAACCUGCCCAUCAGAAGGGGAUAACACUUGGAAACAGGUGCUAAUACCGUAUAACAAUCGAAACCGCAUGGUUUCGUUUUGAAAGGCGCUUUACGGUGCCGCUGAUGGAUGGACCCGCGGUGCAUUAGCUAGUUGGUGAGGUAACGGCUCACCAAGGCCACGAUGCAUAGCCGACCUGAGAGGGUGAUCGGCCACAUUGGGACUGAGACACGGCCCAAACUCCUACGGGAGGCAGCAGUAGGGAAUCUUCGGCAAUGGACGAAAGUCUGACCGAGCAACGCCGCGUGAGUGAAGAAGGUUUUCGGAUCGUAAAACUCUGUUGUUAGAGAAGAACAAGGGUGAGAGUAACUGUUCACCCCUUGACGGUAUCUAACCAGAAAGCCACGGCUAACUACGUGCCAGCAGCCGCGGUAAUACUUAGGUGGCAAGCGUUGUCCGGAUUUAUUGGGCGUAAAGCGAGCGCAGGCGGUUUCUUAAGUCUGAUGUGAAAGCCCCCGGCUCAACCGGGGAGGGUCAUUGGAAACUGGGAGACUUGAGUGCAGAAGAGGAGAGUGGAAUUCCAUGUGUAGCGGUGAAAUGCGUAGAUAUAUGGAGGAACACCAGUGGCGAAGGCGGCUCUCUGGUCUGUAACUGACGCUGAGGCUCGAAAGCGUGGGGAGCAAACAGGAUUAGAUAACCCUGGUAGUCCACGCCGUAAACGAUGAGUGCUAAGUGUUGGAGGGUUUCCGCCCUUCAGUGCUGCAGCUAACGCAUUAAGCACUCCGCCUGGGGAGUACGACCGCAAGGUUGAAACUCAAAGGAAUUGACGGGGGCCCGCACAAGCGGUGGAGCAUGUGGUUUAAUUCGAAGCAACGCGAAGAACCUUACCAGGUCUUGACAUCCUUUGACCACUCUAGAGAUAGAGCUUCCCCUUCGGGGGCAAAGUGACAGGUGGUGCAUGGUUGUCGUCAGCUCGUGUCGUGAGAUGUUGGGUUAAGUCCCGCAACGAGCGCAACCCUUAUUGUUAGUUGCCAUCAUUUAGUUGGGCACUCUAGCAAGACUGCCGGUGACAAACCGGAGGAAGGUGGGGAUGACGUCAAAUCAUCAUGCCCCUUAUGACCUGGGCUACACACGUGCUACAAUGGGAAGUACAACGAGUCGCGAAGUCGCGAGGCUAAGCUAAUCUCUUAAAGCUUCUCUCAGUUCGGAUUGUAGGCUGCAACUCGCCUACAUGAAGCCGGAAUCGCUAGUAAUCGCGGAUCAGCACGCCGCGGUGAAUACGUCCCGGGCCUUGUACACACCGCCCGUCACACCACGAGAGUUUGUAACACCCGAAGUCGGUGAGGUAACCUUUUUGGAGCCAGCCGCCUAAGGUGGGAUAGAUGAUUGGGGUGAAGUCGUAACAAGGUAACC
rnacentral:rRNA from 1 species